UACGUAGGUGGCGAGCGUUGUCCGGAUUUACUGGGCGUAAAGAGCGCGCAGGCGGUCGUCCAAGUCGCGUGUGAAAGCCCCCGGCUCAACUGGGGAGGGUCACGCGAUACUGUUCGACUCGAAGGCAGGAGAGGGUAGUGGAAUUCCCGGUGUAGUGGUGAAAUGCGUAGAUAUGUGGAGGAACAUCAGUGGCGAAGGCGGCUUCCUGGCUUAAAACUGACACUGUGGCGCGAAAGCGUGGGUAGCAAACAGG
rnacentral:rRNA from 1 species